UGCUCUCUUGAAUAAUAUUGACCCAGAUAAACGCCGUUGUUUGGAGUUUAUGCGUGGGGUAAAAUAUGUGGUGUUAGAUGAGGCAGAUAUGCUUCUUUGUGGGGGCUUCCAGAAUAAAGUUAUCUGUCUAUUAAACACGCUCCGUUUUGAUGAAAAGCUACUGUCUCAGUAAAAAGAAUCUGUAUCUGAGUUACCAGUGGAAUUGGAGUCUGAACCUUCAUCACACUCUACUUUAGAGGAUAAGGAGGACCUGCAAACUGACAUCAUAUCAGAAGGGGAGGAAAAUUCUGAGGAUGUUCAUGUUGAUGACUUAGCAGAGGAUGUUGAAGGUGGGUCUAAUAAAACAAAAGACUUGAGGAGAGUGAGAAAAAAUUAUGAGAGCAGUAAACGGUACAUUUGCGUUGCAGCCACCCUUACAGUAAAUGGAAAGAAAACUGCUGGGGCAGUGUUGAAAUAGAUGUUUACAGAUGCCAAUUGGGUCAGUGGAAACUACCUCCAUUGUCACAACCCAGAUUGAAGCAGAGGUGGAUUGAAGUUACAACUGAGACUCAGGCGGAUGAACUCAUAAAUGCUGUGAAUCAAGGUUUUAAAUCUAAAGCUACUGAAUGCCGAACCAUGGUGUUUGCAAAUACUGUUGAGGCUGCAGAAGCAGUGGCAAUAUAUUGUUGAAAGCUGGCAUUCAAUGUUACUGUUACCAUCAGGAUGUCUCCUUGGAGGAACGUUCCCAGAGCUCAACUGAUCUCAAAGAGAAAGGUGGUAUUCUUGUGUGCACUGAUGCUGCUGCACGUGGUGUUGACAUACCAAAUGUCUCACAUGUUAUUUAGUUGCAUCUCUUUUUAUGAAAUUAGCUAUUCCUCCAUCAUGUAUCUGGUUCGUUUUUCACAGGACUGAAAGCCUGCUAAUGCUAGUUUUUUUUCUUUUCUUUUCCUGAUAAGUACUAAUGCUAGGUUUCAUAGCAAUU